rnacentral:rRNA from 1 species
CUUAAAUAUAUAUUUAUAUAUAUACUAUUCAUAAAAUAAUUUAUACAAAUUAAAUUACUAAUUUAAUCAUUAUAUUAUAACUAAUAUUAUUAAAAUUAUUUUUUUUUUAAAAUCAAUAUAUAUAAUUAAUUUUACUAUAAUUAAAAAUUUAUUAAUAAAUUAUUAAAUACUCAUUAAAUUCUUUUAAAUUUUAAAAUUAAUCUUUUUAAUUUUAAUUUAAAUUAUUAUAUAAAUUUAAUUUAUAGAUUAUCCCAUAAAUUAUUUAUAUUUUCUAAAAUAAACUUUUUUAUUUAAAUUUACUUUAAAAAAUAUAUAAAUUAAAUUUAAUUCAAAAAUAACUAGAUAUCAUUAAAAUCGAAUAACAUCUAAUCUCUAAAUAUAUAUUUAUAAUUUUUAUUCAACAAAAAAAAUUUUAUAUAUUUAACUCUUUUAAUUUCGAGAUAUUUAAUUUAUUAAAAAUUUUUAAAUUAACCCUGAUACAAAAGGUACAAAAUUUUACUUUAAUUUAUAAAAUUUUAAAAUUUCAUUUACAUUACUUAUAUAUAUAAAUAUAUUUAUUAUUUCUUAAAAUAUUACUUUAACAUAAAAUUUUUAUAAAAACUUUUUAUAAUAUACUAAUUAAAACAAUAAAAAAAUUUUAUUUAAUUAAUUA